UAACUCCAGUAAAGCUUUUGCCUAAUUUAACUCAAUCGAGGUUUCUGUCGCCCUGGCAGGCUGCCUGCCUGUCUCGAUUUAAUGGCGUUAAGCUAGGCUUUUUUUUUUUUGCAUAAGUACAAUUCCAGCAAUAGUUUUCUGCACAGCUGGAUUUCCGCUGGGUGCAGAUGUUGCUAAUGGCAGCUUAAGCACGGAUGGGCAGAUAACAUAUGGAAUGCAACAUGUUGCCAUAUGGUCCGUUUAGCCUUUCACCUCCAAGAAUAUCAAUCAGAUAUGUUCUGGGAGAAAUUUAAUGACUCUCUGAACAGGAAGAUGAAUUGCUUGGUACGAUUUAUAUUUCUUGACCUGAUGCUAUAUAACAAUAAGAUAGUAAAUGGAACUCUCAGUUUUUAUAAUAACAGUGUGGCCAAAUGGGGCUAGAUUUCAAAUACUAUAAACAUUUGCAUGCUAGGAUCUUGACAGCUGUCAGAUUAUUCAAACAGUGAAGCCUGCCCCAGUAAAAACAUGUCCACAAUAAAUAUGGACAACCACAGCUUCCACAGUCUUCAGUUAAAUUGCCUACAUGUAUCUCUCAAAACAUUUGAAAGUAUAAAACAUUAUUAUUUAUAAACACUCCAAUAUCUAAAACUAUCCACACUUGUACAGCAUGCUAGUAUGGGAAACAAAGGAGAGGUGGUCUGGAACUAAGUAUUAGGAUUCUCCAAAAAAACUAGGAAAAUAGAUCCUGAUAAAUUUGUUGCAUCUCAAUAAUUUCAAACAAGUUGACAUCAGGGACUUAAUUUGUUUUUUUAUAUGACAAAGUUUUUUACUUCAGUAUGAUUGAUUAAAAUCUUUUGGCAGAAAUUGCACUUGCAGAAAAAUUAAGUAGCUAACUAUUCUCACUGAAACAGGUAUGUAUCACCCUUUCAUCUGUUGAUCUUAUACUUUGAGUUAAAUAUCUUGGAUGUAAAAUACUUAGGUCCCAAUCCAGUGCCCAAAGAAAUCAAUGGAAAGCCUCCCAUUGCCUCCAGUGGCUGUUGGACUGGUCCCUUAGAGAAUUUACAAAGCCUCUAGUAUUCUAUUUUAGUGUCACAGUUACAGUGUUUUGAAGUGUGAGCAGACUCUAAAGGACCUGCCUACCUGAACCUCUAGAGUGUUUUUUUUUUUAAAAUAUUUGUGCUCAAUCUGAGUUAAUUUUUCAAAGGCACUUUUAAUAACUAAUGUAUUCUUUCCCUCUGAUACGUCAUUCAAGAUGGAAAAAAAUUAAUACAGUAAAAGAAGGAAAAAGAUUUAUAAUCUGUCAAAUAAACCAUUUUGAGUCUGUCACUGAUUUUUUUAAUCUUAAAUUACUCUACUUAUACACAGGGAACCGAUAUAGAUUGCAAGCUCCUCGGGGCAGGGUCUAUCUCUUUGCUAUAUGUUUGUACAAUGCUUAGAACAAUGCGGCUCUGGCCUCCAGGUGGUAUUGUAAGACUAAUAAAUAUUACUGUAUAUCCCUCUUAUGGGAUAAACCUGAUAAAUUAUUAAGAACGGUUGGUCAAGUAAUAGAAAAUGAAAUUUCAUGCUCCCAAAAAUAGAUAUACCAUAAACAGGAUAUGUGAGCAUAUUGUAAUUAAUAUACCAUAUGUUUGGGGAUAUGUAUGUAUCAUGUGGAAAAAAUUCUGUUGUUACACAAAGUUAUUUUCUUUUCUCAACAAAAAACCAGACUCUCUCUCAAUAUACUGGCACCAUUCUUUUUCUAUUGGCUGCACAAAGAGUAGAAUUGAGCCCCUAUUCCUAGUACAUAAUUACAGAAGCCUUUCAAUGUAAAUAUAUGAAGGCAAAGUUUGAGUUGCUCACAUAUGAAAUAAUUUAUCAUGUUAGGAACAAUGAAUUAUUGCCAUUUUGCCAACAAGGAUAAAAAUGCUGUAGAACCAAGACUAUCAAACCGUGUAAAAUAAUUUGUUUGACUUUAAAAAAAAAUUGUUUUUGAUCAGAACAUGUUUAGAAAAAAUGGUAUUCUGUUAAUGCUUCUUGUAUUUAACGGGAUUUUCAAUGGAUGAAUAUUGUGGCAAGUAUAUAGGGGGCAAGUGUCACUGUGUUGUGAUUUAAUCAGUUAGUGUGUUCCUUAUACAGGUACUGUCUUCCUUACACAACUACUGCCUGAUUGAGAGCUUUAAAAACAACAAACAAAUAAAACUGCACAGAAUUAUAAAAGUCCCUUCGAGGGGACCUACAUUUCAAUGAGUUCCUAUGAUUUUUAUUUUGUACUCAUUUUCACUUUUUAAAAAAUGCAAACCUCUUCUACAGGCAUUAGUUGUGUUUUUUGUUGUUGUUUGGUGUUUUUUUUUUAUUCUCUAUGAACUGAUUCUGUCCAUGCAUGUCCCACUGCCACAUAUGACUUGUGUAGAAUUACUGUCUUAAAGUCCUAGGUAACAUUCAUUAUAAUUUUAACUUAAUCCUGUUAUCCUAAACUCAGAUAAAGGUCCUCAUUAAAGUCAGUGGGGAGCUUUGGCUGAGUAAGGACUAUGGAGUUUUUGAGUCAAGGUCUGAGUGGCUGGCUGCCAAAAUUAGCCCUAUAGAAGGAUUGAACUGCAUUUGAACCUGACACCGUUAUUCUAAUGACCUGGGGAGGGAAUCACAUUGUUAGUGACUGGUAAAACACUGGAUGUUAAAGUAUUUGUUUAGAUAUGGGCCUUCUAAAAUUUGGACUUCAGUGCCAAAAAGGGUUCAUUAUUCACAUUCUUAUUUCUUAAAUUGCCAACUGACUGAACAUUGAUUACAUAAUGGUGCACAUACUUCAGCUGGGGAAGGAAAGGAGAGGGAAUUUGAAAAAAUUAAAACAUCACAUAUUAUGGAUCCUAAAUGCAUUAGUUUCCUUAUAGCAUAAUUCUGAUUGCAUUACAACCACAGCUGUUUAUCAUUCACACUGAUGAAUUAAAAUAUUUUGCACUUUUGCUUCUCGUUUUGAUGUUGGAGCUAUAGCAAUAUGUGACAAACUGUAGAGAAAAUCAACAUUUCGCUGCUCCCCACAUGUGAAAGUGUGCCUCUGAUUUGUAUAGUAGUACUAUAGUACUACUUUGUGUAUAAUGGAGAGACUGUCUUUUAUCUUUCAUAUUUAAAAGUCACUUUUUUUACUAAAGUGACCAGUACACCUCUUCUAAAAUGGUUCAGUCUAUUAAGUUAUAAGCAUGUAGACAAUCUCACAUUGAUAUGCAGUUUAGUUUAUCCCUUUUUAGUGUGACUAUCAUGUAAAUAUAUAAUGUAAAAGUGCACUUCCUAUUAUAAUACUUUAUCAGACUAACAGUUUUAAUUAAAUAUGUUCUGUGUUCUUGUAUUUGAUACCAAAAUACCGCAUUUCACUACAUUUUAUAAAAUUGUGUUUGCAUUUAUUUAAUGUAAGGUUCUUUUUUAAAGAAUGUAGUCUUGAAUGUUUGUUCUCCCUUUUUUUCACAUCAUUACUCUGAUACUGCUUGAUUAGCUCCCUCCCCAGUCAUGAUUGGUAAUUAAAAUAGGCAUUAAAAUUAGUCACUUAGCAAUUUUGCUGUUCAAUUGGCAAUUAAAUUACUUAAUUGCAAUUAAAGUCCUAAUUUUAAUUGGCAAAAUGAUAGAUGUAGAUUUAAGAUAAUAUGUAUAAAUACUUUAAUAAGUGUCUAUAUAAGGAUUACUUAAUUACUCAACUUCAAGUUUAUGCUGUUAACUUUAGAACUUUUAAGUGAGCAAUGAAAUUUAUAUUGCAUCUAUUCUAAGGAUAUGGUAAUUAGAUGUAUUACUUACCAUGAUAAGGGUCUUUGCUAUACAUUAUUUCUUUUAAUGGUGUGGGCUAACCAUUGAAAUAUACACUUCAUCAUAUUACAAACUAGUCAUACUUUUAGUUUUGUGAUUCAAUGUGACUUCCAUUCAAAUGGUAGAUUGGCCUACUGGAGUAGUCUAAGGUUAUUCUGCUGAACAUAAGUGAGAUUGAACUACAGUAAACUGGUCAUAAUUUCAGGUGAGAAUAACUAAACCCUAUAUUUUAUUUCAAGUUGGAAUUUUCAACUAUUUAAUGGAUAUCUGUUGCAACAAAGGAUGAUUAGAAAAAGCAAACAUGUUUUAGAAAGAUUCUGAAGAUGAAACUUAAAAUAUUGUACAUGUGAAUUUUGACUAACUUUACUUGUGGUCACUUCACCAUUACACAAUGUUUCAGUGAGAUUUACUCAACAAAUCUAUAGUUAAGAACUUAAAUCACAUGCUAUGAAACUUAUUUGCAUUAUUUCCCUUUAUUUCAGUGGGACUAGAUAUCUGAGACUUGAUUGCAGCAGAAAACUCAAUUUGAAGACACACAGCAAUUCUCAGAAGUCUCAUUCUCUCAAGAAGCCAAUAUAUGGGACAACUGUUUAUUAUGAAACUCCUGCAAUGUCAAGCAACCUCUCUUUGCUCCAAACUCCAAGGAAGUCACUGUUUUAAAGUGCUUGUUAUGUGCCUUUUAAAACAGGUUCCUAAAGUGGCCAUAAUGAAAAGGUAGUGCUCUUGCUUUCUCUGUGAGUAACUCCAUUCUG